rnacentral:rRNA from 1 species
UACGUAGGAGGCAAACGUUGUUCGGAAUUACUGGGCGUAAAGCGCGUGUAGGCGGCCCUGCAAGUCGGAUGUGAAAUCCCACGGCUCAACCGUGGAAGUGCAUUCGAAACUGCAGGGCUAGAGUCCUGGAGAGGAAGGUGGAAUGCUUGGUGUAGAGGUGAAAUUCGUAGAUAUCAAGCGGAACACCGGUAGCGAAGGCGGCCUUCUGGACAGUGACUGACGCUGAGACGCGAAAGCGUGGGGAGCAAACAGG